AGGAAGUGCUUCCCGGGGAAACUGGCUGCACACCUCUUCGGCACCGUGAGUGAGAUGAGGACCUCGGGAUUAAUCCCGUCUGUGCCGGGCUCGUCCGCGUUCCAGCCUUCGAUAGAGGUGGUGGUGAGCAGAGAAAGGACCGCAGCUGCCCGUCCAGAUGUCCAGCACCCCUAAGCCCUGGAGAUUGGUGUGUUACCUGAUGGUAUCCUAGGUCAAUGAUUCUCAGCCUGGGGCACUGCGGCCCACUGGAGGGCAUCAGCUAGGCCUGUGGAGGACCAUGCGAUUUAUUUGAAAAGUAAAGAAAAAAUAUGACAUUGCUGAAGAAACCCAAAGAGCUUCGCAGAAGGAAUGGGGAGCCACUUCGACCACCAGCACCCAUCUGGAUGAUGCACCCCCAGCAGCCAUUCUAAGCCAGUAUGCUCACCACAGUAGCUAAGGUUCGCUAAUAGUAGAGUUAGAUAUAGGGGAUGAUUAUAUGAGAUAAAGGUGGCCCUAGCUUUGAAAGGGCCACCGUGGACAGUUUUAGCCAGGACAUCGGGGUACCACCCUUACUCUCUCGAAAGAUGGGUCUUUAAUGACCUCAGAGAGUCAGGACCUUGUUUUUACGGCACCAUGUUUACUGCACUGGGAUCCCCUCAGACCACAUGAUGGGCUCCCCCUACUGGCCACACCAACGCCUCUUCCAGCAACAUCCCAGCUUUCCUGUUUGGUUUCCCAUCGAAGUACUGGUCAGGCCCAAACCUGCUUAGCUUCCGAUGUAUGACUUACUCUGAACUGCAGGUGAUAUGGCUGCUGACAUACUUGGUUUACUUCAAUUGAAACAUUAAGACAUGUUACAAACUGUGAUAUUUUUAUUUUGUUAAAGGUCUUUUCAUUUAAGCGCCUGUUUAAUGUUUGUCAAGUUUCUGAGUUUACAGCCAUUUGCCAAAUAGGUUUUAAAUUUAGUUUUUUUGUUCACAAACAUUCACCCUUUGUUCUGAGAACAAUAUCAAACGGGGGAAAUCAGUGCUGGAAUGGUGGACAUAGUGGAAUCACGUUCAAAAGAAAUUACAUUGUUUGGCAGU